rnacentral:misc_RNA from 1 species
GAUGAAGAACGUAGCGAAAUGCGAUAAGUAAUGUGAAUUGCAGAAUUCAGUGAAUCAUCGAAUCUUUGAACGCACCUUGCGCCCUUUGGCUAUUCCGAAGGGCAUGCCUGUUUGAGUAUCGUGAACACCUCAACUCUCAUGGUUUGCCAUGAUGAGCUUGGACUUUGGGGGUUUUGCUGGCCUUUGGUCGGCUCCUCUCAAACGGAUCAGCUUUCCAGUGUUUGGUGGCGUCACGGGUGUGAUAACUAUCUACGCCUGUGGUCUUCUGCCAGAUAACCUUCAGCGAUGGAGGUUCGCUGGGGCUCAUAAAUGUCUCUCUUCAGUGGAGACAGCUUUUUGGACGUUUGAUCUCAAAUCAGGUAGGACUACCCGCUGAACUUAAGCAUAUCAAUAAGCGGAGGA